UUAUAAGAUUGAGAUUCCGGAAGUUCUACUCUGGGCAAAGGAACAGAACGAGGAGAAAAGCCCCAACUUGACACAGUUCACCGAGCACUUUAAUAAUAUGUCUUACUGGGUCCGUUCGAUCAUCAUGCAGCAGGAAAAGUCACAGGACCGAGAGCGGCUGUUGCAGAAAUUUAUCAAAAUCAUGAAGGUAAAAAGACCCAGUUGGGAAAC